AGCGAACGCUGGCGGUAGGCCUAACACAUGCAAGUCGAACGGCAGCACAGUAAGUGCUUGCUCUUACGGGUUGCGAGUGGCGUACGUGUGAGGUAUACAUCGUAAUCUACUUUUUCGUGUGGCUUAACGUAAGUAAACUUACUCCAAUACAGCAUACGACCUACGGGUGAAAGCAGGGGAUCUUUUGACCUUGCGCGAUUGAAUGAGCCGAUGUCGGAUUAGCUAGUUGGCGGGGUAAAGGCCCACCAAGGCGACGAUCCGUAGCUGGUCGGUGAGGAUGGUCAGCCACACUGGAAGUGAGACAGGGUCCAGGGGCCUACGGGAGGCAGCAGUGGGGAAUGUUAGACAAUGGGGGGAAGCCUGAUACAGCGAGACCGCGUGGGUGAAAAAGGCGUUGGGGUUGUAAUGCCCUUUUUUUGGGAAAGAAAAGCAGCAGGUUGAUACGACGCUGGAGUGACGGUACCCAAAGAAUAAGCACCGGCUAACUACGUG
rnacentral:rRNA from 1 species